GCGGGGGGCUGGACGGCCGCGGGGAGCGAUCUCCGAGGAAAGUCCGGACUCCAUGGAGAGACGGUGCCGGGUAACGCCCGGGCGAGGCAACUCGACGGAAAGCGCCACAGAGAACAGACCGCUCCGGGUCGGGCCUCGGCCCGCACUUCGGUGCCCCGGAGCAAGGGUGAAACGGUGGGGUAAGAGCCCACCGGGGGGGCGGCAACGUCCCCCGCACGGCAAGCCCCACCGGGAGCAAUGCCGAAUAGGGAUCGCGCGUGCGCAAGCGCAGGGGGUCUCCGCCCCAGCGGUCCGGGUUGGCAGCUCGAGGACGCGAAGCGAUUCGCGGCCCAGACGAAUGGUCGUCAUGGCGGGUCCGCCCGCCAUACAGAAUCCGGCUUACAGGCCCCCCGCACUC
rnacentral:RNase_P_RNA from 1 species